rnacentral:rRNA from 1 species
AGAGUUUGAUCCUGGCUCAGAUUGAACGCUGGCGGCAUGCCUUACACAUGCAAGUCGAACGGCAGCACGGAGCUUGCUCUGGUGGCGAGUGGCGAACGGGUGAGUAAUAUAUCGGAACGUACCCUGGAGUGGGGGAUAACGUAGCGAAAGUUACGCUAAUACCGCAUACGAUCUACGGAUGAAAGUGGGGGAUCGCAAGACCUCAUGCUCGUGGAGCGGCCGAUAUCUGAUUAGCUAGUUGGUAGGGUAAAAGCCUACCAAGGCAUCGAUCAGUAGCUGGUCUGAGAGGACGACCAGCCACACUGGAACUGAGACACGGUCCAGACUCCUACGGGAGGCAGCAGUGGGGAAUUUUGGACAAUGGGCGAAAGCCUGAUCCAGCAAUGCCGCGUGAGUGAAGAAGGCCUUCGGGUUGUAAAGCUCUUUUGUCAGGGAAGAAACGGUGAGAGCUAAUAUCUCUUGCUAAUGACGGUACCUGAAGAAUAAGCACCGGCUAACUACGUGCCAGCAGCCGCGGUAAUACGUAGGGUGCAAGCGUUAAUCGGAAUUACUGGGCGUAAAGCGUGCGCAGGCGGUUUUGUAAGUCUGAUGUGAAAUCCCCGGGCUCAACCUGGGAAUUGCAUUGGAGACUGCAAGGCUAGAAUCUGGCAGAGGGGGGUAGAAUUCCACGUGUAGCAGUGAAAUGCGUAGAUAUGUGGAGGAACACCGAUGGCGAAGGCAGCCCCCUGGGUCAAGAUUGACGCUCAUGCACGAAAGCGUGGGGAGCAAACAGGAUUAGAUACCCUGGUAGUCCACGCCCUAAACGAUGUCUACUAGUUGUCGGGUCUUAAUUGACUUGGUAACGCAGCUAACGCGUGAAGUAGACCGCCUGGGGAGUACGGUCGCAAGAUUAAAACUCAAAGGAAUUGACGGGGACCCGCACAAGCGGUGGAUGAUGUGGAUUAAUUCGAUGCAACGCGAAAAACCUUACCUACCCUUGACAUGGCUGGAAUCCCCGAGAGAUUGGGGAGUGCUCGAAAGAGAACCAGUACACAGGUGCUGCAUGGCUGUCGUCAGCUCGUGUCGUGAGAUGUUGGGUUAAGUCCCGCAACGAGCGCAACCCUUGUCAUUAGUUGCUACGAAAGGGCACUCUAAUGAGACUGCCGGUGACAAACCGGAGGAAGGUGGGGAUGACGUCAAGUCCUCAUGGCCCUUAUGGGUAGGGCUUCACACGUCAUACAAUGGUACAUAC